UACAGAGGGGGCAAGCGUUGUUCGGAAUUACUGGGCGUAAAGGGCGCGUAGGCGGCCUGUUAAGUCGGACGUGAAAUCCCUCGGCUCAACCGGGGAACUGCGUCCGAUACUGGCGGGCUUGAAUCCGGGAGAGGGAUGUGGAAUUCCAGGUGUAGCGGUGAAAUGCGUAGAUAUCUGGAGGAACACCGGUGGCGAAGGCGGCAUCCUGGACCGGUAUUGACGCUGAGGCGCGAAAGCUAGGGGAGCAAACGGG
rnacentral:rRNA from 1 species